rnacentral:rRNA from 1 species
GAUGAACGCUAGCGGGAGGCUUAAUACAUGCAAGUCGAGGGGUAACAUGGAUGCUUGCAUCUGAUGACGACCGGCGCACGGGUGAGUAACGCGUACACAACCUACCUUUAAGAGGGGGAUAGCCUUGGGAAACUGAGAUUAAUACCCCAUGUGAUUGCAAUUUAUUAUGAUGUUGCAAUUAAAGACUUCGGUUGCUUAGAGAUGGGUGUGCGUACCAUUAGGUAGUUGGUAAGGUAACGGCUUACCAAGCCGACGAUGGUUAGGGGGCGUGAGAGCGUGACCCCCCACACGGGUACUGAGACACGGACCCG